rnacentral:rRNA from 1 species
CCUACGGGAGGCAGCAGUGAGGAAUAUUGGUCAAUGGACGCAAGUCUGAACCAGCCAUGCCGCGUGCAGGAAGACGGCUCUAUGAGUUGUAAACUGCUUUUGUACGAGGGUAAACGCAGAUACGCGUAUCUGUCUGCAAGUAUCGUACGAAUAAGGAUCGGCUAACUCCGUGCCAGCAGCCGCGGUAAUACGGAGGAUUCAAGCGUUAUCCGGAUUUAUUGGGUUUAAAGGGUGCGUAGGCGGUCGGAUAAGUUAGAGGUGAAAUCCCGAGGCUCAACUUCGGAAUUGCUUCUGAUACUGUUCGGCUAGAGAGUAGUUGAGGUAGGCGGAAUGUAUGGUGUAGCGGUGAAAUGCUUAGAGAUCAUACAGAACACCGAUUGCGAAGGCAGCUUACCAAGCUACUUCUGACGUUGAGGCACGAAAGCGUGGGGAGCAAACAGGAUUAGAUACCCGAGUAGUC